UGGGGAAUUUUGCGCAAUGACCGAAAGGUUGACGCAGCAACGCCGCGUGUAUGAUGAAGGCUUUCGGGUCGUAAAGUACUUUCAGUGGGGAAGAAUUGCAUAAUCAGUAACUGGGUUAUGAUUGACGGUACCCACAGAAGCAGCCCCGGCUAACUCCGUGCCAGCAGCCGCGGUAAUACGGAGGGGGCAAGCGUUGUUCGGAGUCACUGGGCGUAAAGAGCUCGUAGGCGGCAGUGUAAGUCGGGAGUUAAAGGCAACAGCUCAACUGUUGUAAGGCUUUUGAAACUACAUUGCUAGAGUGCCAGAGAGGUAUGCGGAAUUCCCUGUGUAGCGGUGAGAUGCGUAGAUAUAGGGAGGAACACCGGUUGCGAAGGCGGCAUACUGGCUGGUAACUGACGCUGAGGAGCGAAAGCGUGGGUAGCAAACA
rnacentral:rRNA from 1 species